UGCAAGUCGAGCGGACAGAUGGGAGCUUGCUCCCUGAUGUUAGCGGCGGACGGGUGAGUAACACGUGGGUAACCUGCCUGUAAGACUGGGAUAACUCCGGGAAACCGGGGCUAAUACCGGAUGGUUGUCUGAACCGCAUGGUUCAGACAUAAAAGGUGGCUUCGGCUACCACUUACAGAUGGACCCGCGGCGCAUUAGCUAGUUGGUGAGGUAACGGCUCACCAAGGCGACGAUGCGUAGCCGACCUGAGAGGGUGAUCGUUCACACUGGGACUGAGACACGGCCCAGACUCCUACGGGAGGCAGCAGUAGGGAAUCGUCCGCAAUGGACGAAAGUCUGACGGAGCAACGCCGCGUGAGUGAUGAAGGUUUUCGGAUCGUAAAGCUCUGUUGUUAGGGAAGAACAAGUGCCGUUCAAAUAGGGCGGC
rnacentral:rRNA from 1 species